GAUGAAGAACGUAGCGAAAUGCGAUACGUAGUGUGAAUUGCAGAAUUCAGUUAAUCAUCGAAUCUUUGAACGCACAUUGCACCUCUCGGUAUUCCGGGAGGUAUGCCUGUUCGAGCGUCAUUUGUACCCUCAAGCUCUGCUUGGUGUUGGGUGUUUGUUCCGCCUCUGUGUGUGAACUCGCCUCAAAACAAUUGGCAGCCGGCGUACUUGUUUCGGAGCGCAGCACUUUUUGCGAUCCAGAUCAACGUACAGCGGCAUCCAAGAAGCCUUAUUUAACGCUCUUGACCUCGGAUCAGGUAGGGAUACCCGCUGAACUUAAGCAUAUCAAUAAGCGGAGGA
rnacentral:misc_RNA from 1 species